rnacentral:rRNA from 1 species
UACGUAGGUGGCAAGCGUUGUCGGAAUUACUGGGCGUAAAGGGCUCGUAGGCGGCCAACUAAGUCGGAUGUGAAAUCCCCAGGCUCAACUUGGGAACUGCAUCCGAUACUGGAUGGCUUGAAUUCGGGAGAGGGAUGCAGAAUUCAGGUGUAGCGGUGAAAUGCGUAGAUAUCUGGAGGAAUACCGGUGGCGAAGGCGGCAUCCUGGACCAAUACUGGACGCUGAGGAGCGAAAAGCCAGGGGGAGCCAAAC